UACGGGGGGGGCAAGCGUUGUUCGGAAUUACUGGGCGUAAAGGGCGCGUAGGCGGUUGGAUAAGUCAGCUGUGAAAACCACGGGCUUAACUCGUGGCCUGCAGUUGAGACUGUCUGGCUUGAGUGUGGGAGAGGAGAGUGGAAUUCCUGGUGUAGCGGUGAAAUGCGUAGAUAUCAGGAGGAACGCCUGAGGUGAAGACGGGUUGCUGGGCUGACACUGACGCUGAGGCGCGAAAGCCAGGGGAGCAAACGGG
rnacentral:rRNA from 1 species